rnacentral:snRNA from 1 species
AUACAUACCUGGCAGAGGAGAUACCAUGAUCAGGAAGGUGGUUUUCUAGGGUAAGGCUUAUCCAUUGCACUCUGGAUGUGCUGAUCCCUGGGAUUUCCCCAGAUGCUCAGCUGCAUAAUUUGGGUAGUGAUAGCAUUUGUUCUCUCC